rnacentral:rRNA from 1 species
GGGGUGCAACACGAGGACUUCCCAGGAGGUCACCCAUCCUAGUACUACUCUCGCCCAAGCACGCUUAACUGCGGAGUU